CAGUCGUGCGGACCUUUUAAAAGCUUGCUUUUAAAAGGUUAGCGGCGGACGGGUGAGUAACACGUGGGCAACCUGCCUGUAAGAUCGGGAUAACGCCGGGAAACCGGGGCUAAUACCGGAUAGUUUUUUCCUCCGCAUGGAGGAAAAAGGAAAGACGGCUUUUGCUGUCACUUACAGAUGGGCCCGCGGCGCAUUAGCUAGUUGGUGGGGUAACGGCUCACCAAGGCAACGAUGCGUAGCCGACCUGAGAGGGUGAUCGGCCACAUUGGGACUGAGACACGGCCCAAACUCCUGCGGGAGGCAGCAGUAGGGAAUCUUCCGCAAUGGACGAAAGUCUGACGGAGCAACGCCGCGUGAGUGAAGAAGGCCUUCGGGUCGUAAAACUCUGUUGCCGGGGAAGAACAAGUGCCGUUCGAACAGGGCGGCGCCUUGACGGUACCCGGCCAGAAAGCCACGGCUAACUACGUGCCAGCAGCCGCGGUAAUACGUAGGUGGCAAGCGUUGUCCGGAAUUAUUGGGCGUAAAGCGCGCGCAGGCGGUUUCUUAAGUCUGAUGUGAAAUCUUGCGGCUCAACCGCAAGCGGUCAUUGGAAACUGGGAGGCUUGAGUGCAGAAGAGGAGAGUGGAAUUCCACGUGUAGCGGUGAAAUGCGUAGAGAUGUGGAGGAACACCAGUGGCGAAGGCGGCUCUCUGGUCUGUAACUGACGCUGAGGCGCGAAAGCGUGGGGAGCAAACAGGAUUAGAUACCCUGGUAGUCCACGCCGUAAACGAUGAGUGCUAAGUGUUAGAGGGUUUCCGCCCUUUAGUGCUGCAGCUAACGCAUUAAGCACUCCGCCUGGGGAGUACGGCCG
rnacentral:rRNA from 1 species